rnacentral:lncRNA from 1 species
CCAGAUACCUAGAACUUAUAUCCUAUCCAAAGUACUAUCAUACUUUGAUAACCUUUGUCCUCUACUAUUAGGUACAUGACUAAGAUUUGUUUUUAUAUUUAGUGAUCCUACAUUACAAUUGUUUUAAGAGCAUACCAGAAGAAAGAACACCAUUCUGAUAAUAAGGAAGUCUGGAUCCUGGUCCUAGCUCUGCCAUUAAUUAGCUGUGUGUUCUUAAAGAAGUCAUUCAACCUCUCUGAGCCACAGUUUCUCCAUUUAAAUAAACCCAAAUUACUUUUUGACACCUUCCUCAACUCUACCCGAGAAGCACUGAUCACUGUAGAAAAAUAUGCGACAGGAAGACAACUAAGUCAAGCAUUGUUUAAUCUCAUUCCUGAGUGUUUUCUAGUUACUGACACUCUCACAUCUCAGCAGUUCUUAUAACCUGUCUAGGAGAGAAGGAAGUAAAGAUGAAUGAUGAUAUAGGUAUGUCUGGAAGGGAAAGAAGCUGAAGAAGUUCAUGGUUGAUGACCUCUAUUAAUGCAGAAAAUGAAAAAUCUAGCAUGCCAAAUAAUAAAAUUUGUAUUAUUUUAAGGCCACAUCUUUAAAAGUAGUUAACUCUGGUUAACUAGCUCCCAUUUGUCUUAAUUCCUUAGGCUUCAUUAUAUUCCAUAUUUAGGCAAAGUCUAUAAAAAUGAUUUCCACCCCCCAAUUUUUAAGUCUAUAGGAAAGUUGAGAGAAUAGUAAAAACCACACACUUGUAUGCCUUUUACCUAGAUUAACCCACUGUUAACAUUUUGCCACAAAUUGCUAAAUCUUCCUCUUUGCAAAUUUUUGCUGAAAGUAAACCACAGACAUGAGAAUUCUCUAAAUAACAUAGCCUGAAUCUUCUAAGAAUAAGGAUCUUUUCCUACAUAAUCAAUAACUAUCACAUCUAGUAAAAUAAACAAUUCCUUAAUAUCAUUUAAUAUACAGUCCAUAUUCAAUCCCCCAAUAUUCUAAACAAUAUCUUUUUAGUUUUGAUCAGUACCUAAUCAAGGGUAACAAGGUAGACUUGAAUGUUAUGCCUUUUUUAAUCUAAGACUAUCCACUUAUUUUUGUUUGCUUGCUUCGAAUUUUUUUUCUCAUAACGAACUUUUUGAAGAGUCCAAGCCAAUUAUCUUUCAGAAUGUCUCACACAUAGAAUGUCUGAUUAUUUUCCUGAGAUUAGAUUCAAGUUAAACAUUUUG